CUUGCUUCUCUGAUGGUUAGCGGCGGACGGGUGAGUAACACGUAGGCAACCUGCCUGUAAGAUCGGGAUAACUACCGGAAACGGUAGCUAAGACCGGAUAACCGGUUUCUCCGCAUGGGGAGAUCGUGAAACACGGAGCAAUCUGUGGCUUACGGAUGGGCCUGCGGCGCAUUAGCUAGUUGGUGAGGUAACGGCUCACCAAGGCGACGAUGCGUAGCCGACCUGAGAGGGUGAACGGCCACACUGGGACUGAGACACGGCCCAGACUCCUACGGGAGGCAGCAGUAGGGAAUCUUCCGCAAUGGACGCAAGUCUGACGGAGCAACGCCGCGUGAGUGAUGAAGGUUUUCGGAUCGUAAAGCUCUGUUGCCAGGGAAGAACGCCAAGGAGAGUAACUGCUCUUUGGGUGACGGUACCUGAGAAGAAAGCCCCGGCUAACUACGUGCCAGCAGCCGCGGUAAUACGUAGGGGGCAAGCGUUGUCCGGAAUUAUUGGGCGUAAAGCGCGCGCAGGCGGUUUUUUAAGUCUGGUGUUUAAUCCCGAGGCUCAACCUCGGUUCGCACCGGAAACUGGGAGACUGGAGUGCAGGAGAGGAAAGUGGAAUUCCACGUGUAGCGGUGAAAUGCGUAGAGAUGUGGAGGAACACCAGUGGCGAA
rnacentral:rRNA from 1 species